CAAGUUUGCAACCAGCAGCUCCUCUUCUUUAGCACUUGAUAAAAGUCAUCUACUAUGCCAAGAGCUCUUCAAGGAAACUCCAAUUUAGUAUUCACAAGUACCACCCCAUGAAGUAGACUAACAUCUCUAUUUGAAAGAUGGGGAAACCAGGAUUUAGGGAGCUUGGUCAGACUACUGAUUGCCCUCCCAUACCCCUACCUGACACACACACCCAACUGAUUUUCUUCUUUUCUAGGAAUAUCUGUUUGGCUCAAUGCAUGAACUGCAUUGCAGGACUCACUACCAUGUGAAAAGUGAUGGGUGUGAAUUCCAGGCUAAUACACAUCUGCCUUAUUGGGAGAUGGAAGUAUUCAAGUCACUGCCAUUGGACCCCACAUGGCCAGUGCCCAUCUGUGGCUUUCCCAGAUUUCUCGUUCCAAGUAAUUUGACAUGACAAUCAACAUGUUGCUUCAUCCUCUUCAGUUAGAUUGGGAUUUAUUCCUGUUGAGGAGAGUUGACAGCCCGGAUUCAUCAUGAACCUGAUCCUUGCUCCCCACAGCCCAACUGCUGUCCCUAGGCAGGUACCUGUGAUCUCCCCUUGCACCUGCAGCGGGAAUCUGGCAGGCCUAAGGCAGCCUCUGAGGCCCACUUCUCUACCCAAAUGCCACCAGCCUUGCUCCAUAGGAUCCCAUCAGAUGGUGU
rnacentral:lncRNA from 1 species